UGAGAGUUCAAGAGGGCGUGAAACCGCUCAGAAGCAAACAGAUGGAUCUGAUGAAAAGUUGGCGGAAUUCAGUACUUUGAGCCACCUCGUGCCAGCGCUGGAUGUCUCACCAGUUGUUGAGCAAAUGAUGUGGCCAAGGGAUGCAUUUUUCGCCGAUGUGCACUGGAAGCUGCGCUUGUGCCGGAAAAACUCCUGUGAAUGUGGACCAAGUACGUUGGUAACUCUUCUCAGGAAAAAGCCUGGUUAUGAGUGCAGUGUUGGUGGCAGACACCCGCCUCUACUCUGAUGCGCCUGGAACUUCGUUGAGACACUGCUGAUUCUUGCUUGCAAGGUUUGGCGGCUUGAGCGUUUGGAAAGGUGUAUGCAGAGUCGGUGUUAUUCCAGUGUUUNUGUCAGUCACCCAUCUGACCCGUCUUGAAACACGGACCAAGGAGUCUAACAUGUGCGCGAGUCAUUGGGUAGUAACACCCAUAGGCGCAAUGAAAGUGAAGUCCAGUUUUGGCUGGAUGAAAUGGGACCCCUGCCUUGAGUGGGGUGCACCAUAGUCCCGUCUGAUCUGCUCGUCAGGCAGGCGGAGAUGGAGCGUACAUGCUGGGACCCGAAAGAUGGUGAACUAUGCCUGAGCAGGAUGAAGUCAGAGGAAACUCUGGUGGAGGUCCAUAGCGAUUCUGACGUGCA
rnacentral:rRNA from 1 species